UUAUAAUGUAAUUUAUAUAUUUGAGUAGUAUUAGUUAUGGUCUUGAAACUUAAAAAAUUUGGCGGUAUUUUAGUCUAUUCAGAGGAAUUUGUAAAGUAAUCGAUAAUCCACGUUAUACCUUUCUUAAACUUGUUAAUCAGCUUAUAUAUCGUCGUUAUAAGAAUAUUUUUAAAAAAUUUUAAAUUUUCUAAAAUUUUAAUUAAAUUUUAUAUCAGAUCAAGGUGUAGUUAAUGUUUAAGUUUUUAUGAAUUACAAUAAAAUUAUUUAUAUGGAUAUAAAAUUUAAAUAUUUUAUUUAAAGUGGAUUUGAAUGUAAAUUAAUAUAUUAAAAUUAAUUGAUUUUAGCUCUAAAAUAUG
rnacentral:rRNA from 1 species